CCCUUAGAUGCUCUGGGCCGCACGCGCGCUACACUGGUCGAUGCAACGAGUUUCUUUCCUUGGCCGACAGGCCUGGGCAAUCUUUGAACAUCGAUCGUGAUCGGGAUAGAUUCUUGUAAUUUUUGAUCUUAAACGAGGAAUUCCUAGUAAACGCAAGUCAUCAGCUUGCAUUGAUUACGUCCCCGCCCUUUGUACACACCGCCCGUCGCACCUACCGAUUGAAUGGUCCGGUGAAAUCUCCGGACUGGCGUGAGUCGGAGCAAUCUGACAAACACCGGAAAGUUGAUUAAACCUUACCAUUUAGAGGAAGGUGAAGUCGUAACA
rnacentral:rRNA from 1 species